GACAGAGGGUGCGAACGUUGUUCGGAAUUACUGGGCGUAAAGCGCGUGUAGGCGGCUCGAUAAGUCGGAUGUGAAAGCCCGGGGCUUACCCCCGGAAGUGCAUUGGAAACUGGGGAGCUAGAGUACCGGAGAGGAUGGUGGAAUUCCUGGUGUAGCGGUGAAAUGCGUAGAUAUCAGGAGGAACACCGGUGGCGAAGGCGGCCAUCUGGACGGAUACUGACGCUGAGACGCGAAAGCGUGGGGAGCAAACAGG
rnacentral:rRNA from 1 species